UGAGGGAUAUUGCGCAAUGGAGGCAACUCUGACGCAGCGACGCCGCGUGGGCGAAGAAGGUCUUCGGAUCGUAAAGCCCUUUUCUAUGUGACGAGCAAGGACGGUAGCAUAGGAACAAGUCUCGGCUAACUACGUGCCAGCAGCCGCGGUAAAACGUAGGAGGCGAGCGUUAUCGGGAGUUACUGGGCGUAAAGCGCGUGCAGGCGGCUGUGGAGGUCGGAUGUGAAAGCUCCCAGGCUAAACCGGGAGAGGUCAUUCGAAACCCUGCAGCUAGAGGGUGACAGAGGCGUGUGGAAUUCCGGGUGUAGUGGUGAAAUGCGCAGAUAUCCGGAAGAACACCAGUGGCGAAGGCGACACGCUAGGUCACCGCUGACGCUGAGACGCGAAAGCAUGGGUAGCGAACGGGAUUAGAGACCCCGGUAGUCCAUGCCGUAAACGAUGCACACUAGAUGUUCGCUGCCGGAAACGGCGGUGAGUGUCGAAGUCAACACGCUAAGUGUGCCGCCUGAGGAGUACGGUCGCAAGGCUA
rnacentral:rRNA from 1 species